AUACUUACGUGGAUGGGGUAUUUACGGGUGAUCAUGAAUGCCUGUGACAUAGACUAGAGACUUUCAUUGUACUUUGAAGGGGCUAUGGUCUACCUAUGCCCAAGUAGUAGAGUGGACGUCAUAAUUUGUGGCAGGGGGGUUCGCGUCCGCGGCCCUUA